rnacentral:rRNA from 1 species
GAUGAACGCUGGCGGCGUGCCUAACACAUGCAAGUCGAGCGAACAGACGAAGCUUUCUCUCCGCUUACGUGGCCGACGGGUGGGUAAGUCAUACGUAGCUAACCUUUCUAUAUGGCUUAGGUCAGGUCAGGAGAGCCGAUCUCAUACCGGAUAAGAUAUUGAACCGGAUGGUUCUUUAGAGAUAGACCGUUUUGCUGUGACUUAUAGGCGUAUCCGCGCCGCAUUAGCUAGUUGGUACGGUAACGCCUUACCAAGGCAACGAUGCGUGGCCGACGUGAGAGGGUGAUCGGCCACCCUGGAACUGGGACACGGUCCAGACGCCUGCGGGAGGCAGCAGUAGGGAAUCUUAGGCAAUGGGCGAAAGCCUGGCACAGCGACGCCGCGUGUGUGAUGAAGGUCUUCGGAUCGUAAAGCUCUGUUAGUGGGGAAGAACAGAUGUGAGUGUAAAUGUGGCCGUCUUGACGGUACCUACAGAAAAAGCACCGGCUAACUACGUG